rnacentral:piRNA from 1 species
AAUCAAGGAUACUCAAAUCAAAGCCUG